rnacentral:rRNA from 1 species
UACGUAGGGGGCUAGCGUUGUCCGGAAUCAUUGGGCGUAAAGCGCGUGUAGGCGGUCCGGUAAGUCCGCUGUGAAAGCCCCGGGCUCAACCUGGGAAUUGCAUUCGAGACUGAAUAGCUAGGGUACGGUAGAGGGAAGUGGAAUUUCCGGUGUAGCGGUGAAAUGCGUAGAUAUCGGAAGGAACAUCAGUGGCGAAAGCGACUUCCUGGACCAGUACCGACGUUCAGGCACGAAAGCGUGGGGAGCAAACAGG